CCUACGGGAGGCAGCAGUGGGGAAUAUUGGGCAAUGGGCGCAAGCCUGACCCAGCAACGCCGCGUGAAGGAAGAAGGCUUUCGGGUUGUAAACUUCUUUUGUCAGGGACGAAGCAAGUGACGGUACCUGCCGAAUAAGCCACGGCUACCUACGUGCCAGCAGCAGCGGUAAUACGUAGGUGGCAAGCGUUAUCAGGAUUUACUGGGUGUAAAGGGCGGGUAGGCGGGACUGCAAGUCAGAUGUGAAAACCACGGGCUCAACCUGUGGACUGCAUUUGAAACUGUAGUUCUUGAGUACUGGUGAGGCAGACGGAAUUCCUAGUGUAGCGGUGAAAUGCGUAGAUAUUAGGAGGAACACCAGUGGCGAAGGCGGUCUGCUGGACAGCAACUGACGCUGAGGCGCGAAAGUGUGGGGAGCAAACAGGAUUAGAUACCCUAGUAGUC
rnacentral:rRNA from 1 species